rnacentral:rRNA from 1 species
CACAAGCGGUGGAUGAUGUGUUUAAUUCGAUGCAACGCGAAAACCUUUACCCACCUUUGACAUGUACGGAAUCCUUUAGAGAUAGAGGAGUGCUCGAAAGAGAGCCGUAACACAGGUGCUGCAUGGCUGUCGUCAGCUCGUGUCGUGAGAUGUUGGGUUAAGUCCCGCAACGAGCGCAACCCUUGUCAUUAGUUGCUACAUUCAGUUGGGCACUCUAAUGAGACUGCCGGUGACAAACCGGAGGAAGGUGGGGAUGACGUCAAGUCCUCAUGGCCCUUAUAGGUGGGGCUACACACGUCAUACAAUGGAUGGUACAAAGGGUCGCCAACCCGCGAGGGGGAGCCAAUCCCAUAAAGCCAUUCGUAGUCCGGAUCGCAGUCUGCAACUCGACUGCGUGAAGUCGGAAUCGCUAGUAAUCGUGGAUCAGAAUGUCACGGUGAAUACGUUCCCGGAUCUU